CGAAAGCCUGACGGAGCCAGACCGCGUGAGGGAAGAAAGCCUUUGGGUUGUAAACCUCUUUUCUCAGGGAAGAAACCUGACGGUACCUGAGGAAUCAGCCUCGGCUAACUCCGUGCCAGCAGCCGCGGUAAUACGGAGGAGGCAAGCGUUAUCCGGAAUUAUUGGGCGUAAAGCGUCCGCAGGUGGCGAUUCAAGUCUGCUGUCAAAGCCAGGAGCUCAACUCCUGUCCGGCAGUGGAAACUGACCCACUCGAGGGUGGUAGGGGUAGAGGGAAUUCCCGGUGUAGCGGUGAAAUGCGUAGAGAUCGGGAAGAACAUCGGUGGCGAAAGCGCUCUACUGGACGGCAACUGACACUCAGGGACGAAAGCUAGGGGAGCG
rnacentral:rRNA from 1 species